ACCUGCCCAAUGAUCUUAAACUUAAAAAAUAUAACCAUUUUUAAAUAGAUUUAAAGGACGCAGUAUCCUGACUGUGAUAAUGUAGCAUAAUCAUUCGCCAUUUAAUUGAUGGAUAGUAUGAAUGGUUGAACGAAUUCUUCACUGUCUUAAGAAAAGAAAUAAUGAAAUUUAAAUAAUAGUAAAGAUGCUAUUUAAAAUUGUAAGACGAAAAGACCCUAUAGAGCUUAACUAUAAGUUCUUUUUACCCUAAAGAAUAUAAUUCUAUAAAUAAAGAACUUGGUAGUUUAGUUGGGGCGACUAUCUUCUAAUAUUAACGAAGACAAGCAAAAUUAAUAUAUAUAAUUUAUUGUAUAACCUAUAAGUUUAACAAUUACUAAAGUAGGCAUAAUGACCCGUUUUCAUUUAGUAAUUAAAGAAAACGAUCAAUAAAUAAAAGCUACCUUAGGGAUAACAGGAUAAUUUUGUUUUAGAGAUCACAUCGAAAACAAAGUUUGUCACCUCUAUGUUGAAUUAAGAUAUCCUAGUAAUGCAGAAGUUACUAAAGGUAGG
rnacentral:rRNA from 1 species